UUGUAUAUUUAGCUUUAGUCAUGUUUCAAGCUUAUAAGUGUUGUAAUCUAUGUUGUUUUCUUUGUAAGCUUUCCUUGGGACGUGUCCCAUAACCAGGCAUACUUCUCACAGAGAGAAAGACAUCCGAAAACCCACCACCGCUCAACCUCUGUUCCACCGCUUCUCCUCCGGCCGGCGUCAUCCUCAUCGCCAGUAUAGAAAACUAUGAACAAAAAGGCAAGAAAUCGGAAUCAGAGUUUCACUCUGUUCGGAAUCUGCUUCAUGAGAGUUGGGAGCUAGCGUCUAUUCUUGCAGGUAAUUUAUGAUUUUUGAGGUUUUUGAUCUGUAAUUUUAAGUUGGAGAUUUGUUUUUGGUGCUCGAUUUGUGUUGAUGGAUAUGCAUUUGUAUGAUGUUUAUGUUUAUGUUGGAAAGAUCAAUGGCAUAGGCUACUUUUGGUUAUGUUAAGAUUGGUAAAUUUUAGAUUUUUAAUGUAGAUUGGUGUUAAGUUGUUAACUGAUAUUGGACUGCAUAUGAUAAGAUUUUUUUAGAUAUGUCACAUGGUGAUAAAAGGGUUUUUGUUAUAGUUGUUGUUUUACUUUCAGUUGUGCAAGUCUCUGAAGAAAUGUCUUAUGAUUUAGACACGCCUAAAGCGAAGGGCGCAUGUUCCAUAUCUCCUCUUCAUACUGUAACAACCAUUUUGUUUAUUACUGUAAUUGCUUUUCUGUUCCAGAUUAUCUUGAAAAUAAAGAGGAUAAGCAAUCAAGAAAGGCCUAAAGCGAAGGGCGUAUGGCCUGUUAUCGGACACUAGGGAUGAGCAAAUCGUACCGGGUACCGGUACCAAAUUUACCGAACCGGGUACAUUUUCGAUACCGAUUUGGUACCGACUUUUGACAUUUUCGGUACAGGUAUUUACUGGUUUUUGCACUCAAAUACCUUUACCGUACCUGUACCGAACUGUACCGGGUAUAUUCGGUACCGGUACCCACUUUUGGGGAUUUUCGGUACCGGUAUUUUCGGUACCAAGCUUAUCCCUAUCGGACAUCUACACCUUCUAGGUGGAUCGAAACUCUUACAUCAUGUUUAUAAACACUGUGCAGUUAUAUAAGCAUCAACAACAGCUCCAGUUUUGAAGUGAGGGAUAUUAUAUAUAAUCAAGGUGAUGUUUCUGUUUUGAUAUUUUAAUUUUACUUGGUUAUAUUAAAUAGCGUAUGUAUCAUGCUAAUUUGAGUGUGUUUAGGCGCAUGCCAUCUCCAUCAGCUCCACGUAUAUCUGAUAUAUAUCUCUCACAAGUUGCCUUUGUUCCAAAAUCCAAACACCUUUGCAUUGCAUAAGUGAAAUCCCAAUGAGAAGACUGAAGACAAAGUAGGUAACUAUAAAACCAUAAACAUGUUUCAUGGGCUGCAAACAUCAAUGCUGGUAAAUUAUAGGUAAAGAGUGUUAUGCCACAAAUGACAAAAUCUUUGCGGGUCGAACCAAGUCAACGACAACAGAGAUCAUGGGGUAUAACUACGCCUGGUCGUCCGGGCUCCGUAUGGCGGAAAGUGCACAAGAUGCUCACGCUCGAAAUCUUCUCUCAAUGAAGAGUACAGAUGCUCGAACAUGUUCAAGACGUCUUAAAAGGAUGGUUGAAAGAGCACAAGAAGGAAAACGUGUCUGGGAAGCAACAAGAAGGCAACCAAGUCUUCAUAGAUGUCAUGAUUUCCAUUCUCUAAGAUACUUCUAAAGAGGAUUUUUCAUGGUUGUGGUACUAAUAGGUCGCCAAAUAAAAGAGUUUUCUGUAACAAAACUUACUGUAACAGUCGGUUUUCUGGCCAACUAAUGGUUAGUUGUGGAGGUCCAUAGGCAGAAAGCUUCCAAUGGUGGUGAGAUCACGACUGUCGUGGUUGUGGUAGUAGGUAACGGGUCAAAUCCCAAAUCGUUUACAGGACUUCGGUGUGGUGAAUAAGAGGAAUGAUGUGAGGUAAAUUUAUAUGUUAUCUCACAUUUUGGUA